rnacentral:lncRNA from 1 species
CGCGGCUGGAAACGCAGAGUCAGUGAAGGGGUUGCUGGGGCUUAGUAGGCGGCGACUUCCGGGAAGAAGGAGCAGAGUGGAGAGCUGCAAAGCGUGUAAAAGGAUGGGUCCUGUGGACUGUACCUGGGAUUCCAGCCUUGAAAGAAAGUGCUUUCGGACUGUGCCUUGUGCUUCUAGAGAAUGAAAUGCCGGUGGCCUGGAUUUGUGGGGUUACCAGCCCCUUCCCCACCCCAACAAGGCUAUCUGGACCUCAUAUAGGUGGAUAUAUGUCAUUAAGAUUCUAACGUUUGAGCUGAAUGCAUUAAGUUACUGGACAUAUAGAAUUACAUCAUUUGAAAAAGAGGGACGCCUGGGUGGCUCAGUUGGUUGGACGACUGCCUUCGACUCAGGUCAUGAUCCUGGAGUCCCGGGAUCGAGUCCCGCAUCAGACUCCCAGCUCCAUGGGGAGUCUGCUUCUCCCUCUGACCUUCUCCUCAUUCUUGCUCUCUGUCACUGUCUCUCUCUCACGUAAGUAAAUAAAAUCUAAAAAAAAAAAAAAAAAAAAAUAAAUGUUGUUUAUAAUUUCAAGGAUGCUUAAGUAUGCUGGUUUUGUUCUGUGCAAAUGUGCAGCAUAUUCACUGCAUAUCACAUUUUGACUGCUAAUAUUGAUCACACAUUAUAAAGUGUAUCUAAAUAUGCUUUUAAACUGUUCUACAUG